GAUGAACGCUGGCGGCGUGCCUAACACAUGCAAGUCGAACGGAGUCCAGCCUUAGAGACCUUCGGGUCAAAGAGGGGAAGACUGAGUGGCGGACGGGUGAGUAACACGUGGGCAACCUGGCUCAUAGAGGGGGAUAACAGAGAGAAAUUUCUGCUAAUACCGCAUAAGCACACACUGCCGCAUGGCAGAGUGUGAAAAGAGAAUCGCUAUGAGAUGGACCCGCGUCUGAUUAGCCAGUUGGCAGGGUAAGAGCCUACCAAAGCGACGAUCAGUAGCCGAUUUGAGAGGAUGAACGGCCACAUUGGGACUGAGACACGGCCCAAACUCCUACGGGAGGCAGCAGUGGGGGAUAUUGCACAAUGGGGGGAACCCUGAUGCAGCGACGCCGCGUGAGUGAAGAAGUAUUUCGGUAUGUAAAGCUCUAUCAGCAGGGAAGAUAAUGACAGUACCUAAAUAAGAAGCCCCGGCUAACUACGUG
rnacentral:rRNA from 1 species